CACCUUGCUGCCGCUGUCUGUCAUCUCCACAAGGACAGCCAACACACGUUCGCGCCAAACGAUGACGCAGUGCUUCAAGUGCAAGCAGGCCAUUGGCACGGUUGUCAGUCGCGAUGGGCCGGCGAAGUUGUAUUGCCCGGACUGCUUCCUCGCCUACUGUGCCGGUGCGGUGCGCGAGAACGCCUUUCAGCAUUGCCUCGUGCCGAGUGACACACCGCUCGCGGUGGCCGUCUCAGGCGGCCCCAACUCCAUGAUGCUGCUGCGCGAGCUCGGUCAACUGCGGUACAAGACACGAGACCAAAUUCGCCGACAACAUCUGACACCGCAGCGGCAGGCGCCCGCUCAGGGCGGGAAGUCGCGCAGCACAUCCACGUCUUCACCGCCCGCCAGGAGCACACCGUUGGCGUCCAGUCUGAUACUGCUGCCGUUCCACCUGUGUGAAGAUGAACUCGUACUUCCGCCGCCGCCGCCGCUAUCUUCAUCGACUCCUUCGCCAUCAUCGCUGCACCCGGUCAGCGGCCGACAGGAGGCGAUCAAUCGGGUGCGGUCGACAAUGGAGGAGCAGUUCGCCACGCUGCGCAAGUACGUGCAGCAGCAGCCACCGCGGUGGGUCUACCACGGCGAAGUCCCGUGCGGGCACAAGAGGUCGAAGAAGAAGCAGAACGACCCCACUGAGGCAGUGGGGACGGUCGCUGCCCAUGCGAGUGGAGCCAGCAUCGCCACACCGGAGUCGUCUCACGGUGGUGGUGAUGGUGGUAGUGGUUCGACUUCAGCACCGUCGCCGCAGCCACUGCCGCAGCGUCACGCGGGGACGAGUAGUGAGACGGCCGCAGCAACCGCGCGCUUGUUCGCCGCCUCGGAAAUGCGCCUGUUUCGCUACAGCGAUAUUCUUUCGGGCACCUAUCUGAGCGAGCUGCGCUACGCCCUGCACGCCAGCCGGCUGUCGCUGAGCGACCGCGAAGCACUCUAUGCGCGUGUGCGGCAGCAGACGCUCUGCCGUGCGGCUCAGCGUGUGUGUGAGGAGCACCGCCAGCGCAAAGCAGCAGCAGCAGCAGCAGUCGCCGUUGGCGGGGUGGCACACGAGGAGGGGAUUCGCGCGGACGAGGCGCACUGUUCCGAAGAACAAGAGCUCUUUGAUGAGCACGUGCCGUUAGAAGGCACGAAUUCGAAAACAAGGUCACACUUGCUUCUCGGCAGCAACGCGGCGCGGUGCGCCGCGGCGGCACUCGAGGCGCUCGUCACGGGCGCCGGUGGCGAAGGCGUCGUGCACGGCGCCGGGUUUCGCGGUUUUACGCACGAGGUCGUUUGCCUUCGGCCGCUGCGCACGAUGCUGCCCAAAGAAGCGAUCAUGUACACGCGGAUCUGCGGCAUUGCCGGCAGCUACACGCCUGCGCUGUGCACUGGCACCGCCACUCGCUCUCUCCACCGCACGCUGGAGCACUUUGUGCUGGCCAUGAUGGCAUCGUACCGCACCAUGAUCUUCAACGUGCUCAGCACAGUGCAGCGGCUGGAGGUGCACCCCGCUGCAAUGCAGGAGCUCGUGCGUGGGAUCGAUAAUGCAUCUGCAUCUCCAGCGCACGUUAAUGGCGAAGGCUUAGCAGAGGCGGGAAGUACGCAGUCGGCCGGAAAGACUACCAGGAAGGCGCUACCAGCUCGAACGGCGCAGCAGAACCGCGAUGAUCUGCGCCUGGCAGCGCCGCUGCACGUGCACCGCGACCUGCGUGGUGUGAGCUCGAAAGAAGCAGACAUCGAUAGCGUCAUCGCGAUGUGCUGCGUGUGCGGCUGUCCUGCCUCCAUCACCUCAUGCCACCGUGGUCAGAACGCAAGCACGGCGGUGCGGCAGUUGGAGAUGUUGGCGCUGAGCACCACAAGCGCAAUGACGCCGCGCACGAGCGGGGCAUCACCGUCCACCGUCGUCGACGCUGCCUCCGCAUCCGAAGCCUCGCCGACGACGGCCGGCUGCUUUGUCUGCUACGCCUGCCAAGGCCUCGCGGACGCUUGGCCUCCAUCAGUCUUUGGGAGAGACAGCGCAACAGAGAACGACGAGCAAGCAAGUAAUGACAGCACCACCGCAGCUGGGGCGGCGGCGCGCCACGGUGCCGUCGCAUCCACGGCUGCCCUUUUUCGGCUGUGUGCACUUUUUUACUGACAGCCCACGUGUUCAGGCUGCGCCGCCCCGCCCCGUCCCAUCCCAUCCGUGUGUGCAAGGGCGACACGCCGGCGGCACUGCACCCUCCCUCCCUCUCCCCCUCCUCCAGUUCUCUAAGAGCCGACAAGUAGGAUAAGGCAAAGGUACAAAAGAAGGGCAGCGGAGACCACCCCGCUGUUACACUCACGGCAGACGCCUGCCGCCUCCGCCCUCGAGCGCAGGACCCUGGACGCGUCCCGCUGGGAUCAAGACAUGCAGUCUAGCCAGGUCCGUGUGGAGUUCGCCGCGCAGCGCGUACCCGACGAGGAGGCGAGGAAGGGCAGGAAGAGCUUGAUAGGCGCAUGACCCGAUUCGGUGGCAGGACGGCUUGUCCCAUGACGGCCAGGCGUUAGCGGCAGUGCCGCGGCGGCAGGCGAUCGGUGGCUGUGUGGUUGUGCAUGCGUAUCCGUUUGCUGGCUUGCUCGCGGGUGGAAUACGGGCGCGUUGGACCGCUGAAACAAU
rnacentral:misc_RNA from 1 species